rnacentral:rRNA from 1 species
GACGAACGCUGGCGGCGUGCUUAACACAUGCAAGUCGAACGAUGAAGAAAAGAAUUGAAGCUUCGGCAGAAAUUCAUUUCGGAUUAGUGGCAGACGGGUGAGUAACGCGUGAGCAACCUACCUCUUACAAAGGGAUAGCCUCGGGAAACCGGGAUUAAUACCAUAUAACAUUGCGACGAAGCAUUUCGAUGCAAUCAAAGCUACGGCGGUAAGAGAUGGGCUCGCUUCCCAUUAACCAGAUGGUGAGGUAACGGCUCACCAUAGUAACGAUGGGUAACCGGCCUGAGAGGGUGAACGGUCACACUGGAACUGAGACACGGUCCAGACUCCUACGGGAGGCAGCAGUGGGGAAUAUUGCACAAUGGAGGGAACUCUGAUGCAGCGACGCCGCGUGAGUGAUGAAGGAAUUCGUUUCGUAAAACUCUGUUCUAUGGGAAGAAAAGGACUGUACCAUAGGAGAAAGCGCCGGCUAAAUACGUG